rnacentral:lncRNA from 1 species
AUGUAUCGGGAAAAAUGUUUUAGGGACAAGUUGACCUCUUCAGAAAUUCCGAAUUGGGAAAAAUUCGGUUCAGCGGUUUCCAUCCUGAAGAUUGUAAUAGUAAGAGCGAGCAAAUAACCAAAGGAACCGAAUUAACUGACUUAACUGAACCAAACAAUUGACCGACGGUUCGGUUAAGCCAUAACCAAUUAACCGAAAUUUGUGGUUU